rnacentral:rRNA from 1 species
GACUCGAAGCAGUGGAUCACUCGGUUCUCGGGUCGAUGAAGAACGCAGCCAGCUGCGAGACUUCGUGUGACUUGCAGGACACACCGAGCAAUGAAUCUAUGAACGCACAUUGCGGCCUUGGUUCUUCCCUUGGCUUCGUCUGUCUGAAGAUCG